rnacentral:rRNA from 1 species
ACCCGCUGAACUUAAGCAUAUCAAUAAGCGGAGGAAAAGAAACCAACAGGGAUUGCCUCAGUAACGGCGAGUGAAGCGGCAACAGCUCAAAUUUGAAAUCUGGCCCCAGGCCCGAGUUGUAAUUUGCAGAGGAUGCUUUUGGCGCGGUGCCUUCCGAGUUCCCUGGAACGGGACGCCAUAGAGGGUGAGAGCCCCGUACGGUUGGACACCAAGCCUUUGUAAAGCACCUUCGACGAGUCGAGUAGUUUGGGAAUGCUGCUCUAAAUGGGAGGUAUAUUUCUUCUAAAGCUAAAUAUAGGCCAGAGACCGAUAGCGCACAAGUAGAGUGAUCGAAAGAUGAAAAGCACUUUGAAAAGAGGGUUAAACAGCACGUGAAAUUGUUAAAAGGGAAGCGCUUGUGACCAGACUUGCGUCCGGUGAAUCACCCAGCUCUCGCGGCUGGGGCACUUUGCCGGCACAGGCCAGCAUCAGCUCGCUGUCGGGGACAAAAGCUUCGGGAACGUAGCUCUCUUCGGGGAGUGUUAUAGCCCGUUGCAUAAUACCCUUCGGUGGGCUGAGGUACGCGCUCCGCAAGGAUGCUGGCGUAAUGGUCAUCAGCGACCCGUCUUGAAACACGG